rnacentral:lncRNA from 1 species
CCUGAAGGCUGGCGAUCCGCUGCCAGACCCUGAUUUUUAGUGGUACCCGUGUGGAAGAGGCAGCCGGGCUGCGAGCAGCCCUGCACCAUAACCAACCCGGGGGUAUGGCAAACACCUCCACAAGCAGUUCUGCUCCUAAGUAACUUAAUCGCUUUUUAAUUCUGGUUUCCACUAAUUUGCAUGGACAUGUUAGCUCUGCUCCUCUUGAGCAGGAAAUCUGUCUACGUGCCAAUGGCUCAACUCAGAUUUGGAUGCUAAAUCCUCAGACACCACAGCCCGAUUUCAAAGAUGUCAGCAAGGAUAUAAUGAUGUGUUAUUUAUACCCUGAAUAACGCUCUGACAUCUCUCCCUGGGGAAGAACGGAGGGUGCCCAGGACCUUUAGCACAUUGCCGCCUUGGGAUGAGGCAGUGACACUCGUUCUGGUCCAGAGCCUGGGAAGCAGCUCCAGGUGCUGCCGUUUAUAGCUCCCACCAGCCAAACUAACAGAAACUUAACCUGGUUCUUUGCAGAAGGUCAUUUAAUGGCCAGCUGAGGUUAAAAGGCAGGAGAUUUGAAGAAGCAUGCCCCAAAAAGGGCUGACAAAAGCAGAGAAAUGGAUUUUGCUGUUCUGCCUGGAGAGCAGGAGGAACCCAGCGCCCUGCUGGCUCGGUGCACGGGUACCAGUGACAGCGAGGACGGCGUCUCUGCUUCAGGUGGAACACGCCUUCAAAGUAAAGUGUUCAGAAGCAUGGGGCAGACAGAUGAGCACCUUGGAGGCCCCAACACACACAUGGAUUUGGUGCACAAACCAAAAUUCCUCCUGUGCCAAUCACUGGCCAUACGGAGCAUCCCCGGGAAGAAGCCGAGCUCCCCAAGAAGGCUCUCAUUUAGUUGCACGAAGUAUUUACAAUUCAGAUGGCAUUUUAUACAUUUCCUUAGCAUCAUCAUUCAGCCACUUCAUCGGGGCUACUUCAGUGGGAGCUUUCUUGGGACUGCAGUUACACGGCUGAUUCCUGGCUGUGGUGCAGAGACAAAGCUGUGUCCAUAAGGUCAGCUGUAAUAGCUUUAUUUUCAGCCAUUAACUACCAGUGCAAACUGCAUAUUGAACAGAGAAAGCCCAGUUUUGUCUGCGUGCCUGACAAAUGCUGCUGCUAUACCUAGAGAGAAGCAGAAGUGAUCAGAGCAGCCGCUGCCUGCGGGCAUGACGCACUUCAGAGGGCUGAGCAGCACCGAAAUAAAAACACAAAACUGCAUUAUCA